rnacentral:rRNA from 1 species
AUUGAACGCUGGCGGCAUGCCUUACACAUGCAAGUCGAACGGUAACGGGCCUUCGGGUGCCGACGAGUGGCGAACGGGUGAGUAAUACAUCGGAACGUGCCCGAUCGUGGGGGAUAACGAGGCGAAAGCUUUGCUAAUACCGCAUACGAUCUACGGAUGAAAGCAGGGGACCGCAAGGCCUUGCGCGGACGGAGCGGCCGAUGGCAGAUUAGGUAGUUGGUGGGAUAAAAGCUUACCAAGCCGACGAUCUGUAGCUGGUCUGAGAGGAUGAUCAGCCACACUGGGACUGAGACACGGCCCAGACUCCUACGGGAGGCAGCGGUGGGGAAUUUUGGACAAAGGGCGCAAGCCUGAUCCAGCCAUGCCGCGUGCAGGAUGAAGGCCUUCGGGUUGUAAACUGCUUUUGUACGGAACGAAAAGCCUUCUUUUAAUACAGGAGGGUCAUGACGGUACCGUAAGAAUAAGCACCGGCUAACUACGUG